GAAAUCCCCGGGCUUAACCUGGGAACUGCAUCUGAAACUGUUAGGCUAGAGUAGGUGAGAGGGAAGUAGUAUUUCAGGUGUAGCGGUGAAAUGCGUAGAGAUCUGAAGGAAUACCGAUGGCGAAGGCAGCUUCCUGGCAUCAUACUGACACUGAGGCUCGAAAGCGUGGGUAGCAAACAGGAUUAGAUACCCUGGUAGUCCACGCCGUAAACGAUGUCUACUAGUCGUUGGGUCCCUUGAGGACUUAGUGACGCAGCUAACGCAAUAAGUAGACCGCCUGGGGAGUACGGCCGCAAGGUUAAAACUCAAAUGAAUUGACGGGGGCCCGCACAAGCGGUGGAGCAUGUGGUUUAAUUMGAUGCAACGCGRAGMACCWYACCUGGUCUASACAUAUCUAGMAUCYUGCAGAGAUGCGGGAGUUCCUUCGGGAGAUAGAAUG
rnacentral:rRNA from 1 species